GACGAACGCUGGCGGCGUGCCUAAUACAUGCAAGUCGAACGCAGUGGGGACGGGUGAGUAACACGUGGGUAACCUCCCAUCAGAGGGGAUAACACUUGGAAACAGGUGCUAAACCGAUACUGAUGGAUGGACCAGCGGUGCAUUAGCUAGUUGGUGAGGGAACGGAUGCCCAAGGCCACGAUGCAUAGCCGACCUAGUAGGGUGAGCGGCCACACUGUGGCGGAGACACGGCCCAGACCCCUACGGGAGGCAGCAGUAGGUAAUCUUCGGCAAUGGACGAAAGUCUGACAGAGCAACGCCGCUUGAGUGAAGAAGGUUUUCGGAUCGUAAAACUCUGUUGUUAGAUAAGCGGUAUCUAACCAGAAAGCCACGGCUAACUACGUGCCAGCAGCCGCGGUAAUAC
rnacentral:rRNA from 1 species